GCAGACAGACGUGUACACGUGUGCCUGGCCGUUUUUCGAUCUGCGGUAGCUCAGGCUCCUCGUUCAGUGGGAAGGGAUCCCGGGGCGGGAGGGGGGUGGGGAAUGUGACUGACAGACUUGGGUCCUCCAUCAAUUACAAUUGCCAAUUGUAAUUGGGCAAUGACAGUCUCCGAGAUGCAGGACGUAGGGGCAGCGCGUUAGGGCCCGGAGGACGAGGCAUCAGAGCCCAAACCUUGGGGUGUGGCAUAGGACCUGGCCGAGGGGCGACGCGUCCAAAGUCUGGGGCCUUGAGAGCCUAGAGUCUCCAGUGAGCAGGGCUACUACGACGUUGAAAGGACCCUCGAGUUAGACUGCGGAGAUGGGCUUUAUCCCCCCACAGUGUAGAGCUGUUGUCAGUUUCAGGCGGGGCGCGCUGUGGCCCUAAUUUCAUUUUAUUAAGUCAUGCAAGAAAUGCGCCAGCAGCUACAGUCCGUGUACAGCCCUGCAGCCUUGUACCACUGCAGGUAGUAAAGCUGGAGAGCCACUGUUUGGCGACCAGGUCCAGGCAGGCUUGGAGCUGACAGCAUCUCAUUCUGUGGCUUCCUGCCCGGGGGCUCCUCGGAUGCCGGAGUGCCCAGACUCUGCUUUCAGAGGGACCCAGCCUAAAACAACCCGUUAUAAGAUGAUCUUACUUUCUUGGAAAUGCUGCAUUACAAAAAAAUGGGAAGAAGAAUCAAAAGGAGCAAAAACAUGAUCGUCUAUCGAGAACCUUCCUUGGAGAAGGGUAGACUCUUGCCUGUUACGCAUUCGUCUGUGUGAGGGGAACGGAGUGAGGGUAGAGGAAGCAGGAUGCUGAGGGAGCUGGAGCAGCUUUGUCGUCUAGGAUGACCCCGUUGCACACCUGUGUUGGCUGCUUACUACUGACUCUCUGAUCCUGGCAGAUGUCCGCCUCUGAACCUGUUUCCUCACCUGUAACACAGAGGCAGUAAAUGCCAACUCAUACGGUGAGACACAGAGACCAUGUCAGCUGAGUGCCGAGCCCGGUGCCCAGGCCCUGGUGUGCGUCAGUAAAUGCUGUCUUGGUGGAACAGCCCUGUGUAAUCAGCUUGGGACUGUCUGGGACCAAGUUUCUCCUGCUGCUUCGUGUGUGCUUACUUCCCUUCCACAGUAAAAUGGUGAGCCUCUCAAA